rnacentral:rRNA from 1 species
GCCAGACUCCUACGGGAGGCAGCAGUGGGGAAUAUUGGGCAAUGGGCGCAAGCCUGACCCAGCAACGCCGCGUGAAGGAAGAAGGCUUUCGGGUUGUAAACUUCUUUUCUCAGGGACGAAGCAAGUGACGGUACCUGAGGAAUAAGCCACGGCUAACUAUGUGCCAGCAGCCGCGGUAAUACAUAGGGGGCAAGCGUUAUCCGGAAUUAUUGGGUGUAAAGGGUGCGUAGACGGAAGAACAAGUUGGUUGUGAAAUCCCUCGGCUCAACUGAGGAACUGCAACCAAAACUAUUCUCCUUGAGUGUCGGAGAGGAAAGUGGAAUUCCUAGUGUAGCGGUGAAAUGCGUAGAUAUUAGGAGGAACACCAGUGGCGAAGGCGACUUUCUGGACGAUAACUGACGUUGAGGCACGAAAGUGUGGGGAGCGAACAGGAUUAGAUACCCUCGUAU